rnacentral:rRNA from 1 species
CCAAUAGCGUAUAUUAAAGUUGUUGCAGUUAAAAAGCUCGUAGUUGAAUUUCGGGAUCAAUCUAUCGGUCGUGCAAUAGUACGUACUGGUUUUAUUGAUUCCUCCCUUCUGAUGAACUAUGAUGUCAUUAAUUUGGUGUCAUAGGGAAUCAGGACUGUUACUUUGAAAAAAUUAGAGUGUUUAAAGCAGGCUCACGCUUGAAUACAUUAGCAUGGAAUAACGAAAUAGGACGUUUGAUUCUAUUUUGUUGGUUUCUAGGAUCGACGUAAUGAUUAAUAGGGAUAGUUGGGGGCAUUAGUAUUCAAUUGUCAGAGGUGAAAUUCUUGGAUUUAUUGAAGACUAACUACUGCGAAAGCAUUUGCCAAGGAUGUUUUCAUUAAUCAAGAACGAAAGUUAGGGGAUCGAAGACGAUCAGAUACCGUCGUAGUCUUAACCAUAAACUAUGCCGACUAGGGAUCGGAUGAUGUUAAUUUUUUAAUGACUCAUUCGGCGCCUUACG